CCUAGAAUAUAAUAAUGAUUUUUUUUUUUUAAAAGAAGGAUAUACUUUUUUCAAAGAAGGAUAUAUUUAUUUAUUUACGACGAUACCUAAUAGUUUGUGGCCAAUCAGCCAAACACAAACAGAGUUACUAAAAAAAUCCAAUAAUUCCCUUCAACGCUCCAAUGUAUUUUGUUCCCUUCUCCUUUACUUUUAUAAAAUCUACUAAAUCCUCCUACCUCUAAACUCCAUCCAUAUCUAUAAACUCCUGUUGUCUAUCUGAAUGUAAUCUAACAGAUAUACUAUGUAUAAAUUUACUUAUUUUCAAAAACUUCAUCCAUUCAUAUGUCAUCAGAUAUCAAGAUAUAUCUAUAAGUUCCUUUGUAACAAUAGUCCAAAGAUUAUGGUAAAAGAGAUUAGUAUUGCUGACUGAAAUUUCGAAUGAAAACAAAUAACGAUGACGCAAUGGUAGCAUUUGUUUGUAGCUAUAGUUGGCGAAGAUAUUUUCCGGGGGACGAAUAAUUAAUUUUGUCACUGGCUCCUACAUAAUUUUUAAAUCUUACUGCACAAUUAGUGACUAAUAUUAAAUGCAUCUACAGAACAAAGUUUAUACGUCGGCUGCAGAGGACAAGAUAUGCAAAGUCAAUUUCGUCAUGAUGUUUUGGAUCCUUGUUUUUGAUGCUACGGAAUUGAACUGUAACGAUGUUGAUUGAUUUGCUAAUGCUCUAAACACGAUUAGUUUAUGCACACGUAGAAAACCCUGUGGUUUUGUAUGAACCAGCUGGCUUAUUUCACUUAAUAUGCUUUUAACCAUUUUUCACCAUUAUUAGAGACUGAUUGGCGCGUGUCCGCGUGGAUAUUAAAUUUUUUUUUUUAUAAAUAGAUAUUUUGUUUUUCAAAAUUAGUGUUAUAUAUUUUAUAUGUAUCAUCAUAUAACUAAUUAUAUAAGUAUUCUUAGUUUCUUAUACAUCAGAAUCAAAUCUAAAUCAAAUAUGAUAAUGGAUCCGAUUGUAAUUUCUGUAGCUUUAUAAAAAUUAUUGUAGAAAAAAAUCUACAGAUUUUUUAUUAUGGUUUUACAUUUUAUUGUUGUAGAAUUUUAUGGAAAACCUAAAAAAAUUGUUGUGAAUAUUUGACUCUACAAAGCAUUUGUACAACUGUUAAUUAUUUUAGGAAGUGUGAUUAAAAAAAAAAUAAAGUUUGAUUGUUGUGAAUUUGGUGAUGUAGAAAUAUAUGGAGUUGUGGACAUCACUACAACAACUACCAAUCACACCUAUUAUGGUUACUUUUUGUUAUUUCGUUAUUUUUAAAUUAUUUUAAGUUUGAAUUCAAAAUAUACAAACUGAAUUGGUUAAUAUGGUUACUUUUGAUUCAAAUAUCUAAACAUGUUUCGGAUACAUUUUAGGUUUAUACACUAAAACCGAAUCCAUCCGGAUUUGGGAAGAUCCGAUUCAAAAUCCACAUUAAAAUAAUAAUAUUCGAAUUAAGUUUAAUUUCAAAAUUCAAAAAAACCAGAUUCCCGAAAGAACAACUCGAGGUACAUGAAUGUCUAUAUCUAACUGAUUAUGUCAACGAAUAAAAAAACUAUUUGAUAACAAUUUUGAAUUUUUGUCACAAAUGCAAUAAUUUCAUUCAAAUAUGCCAAAUUAUUAUGGUUAAUACGUUAAAUAAAUGCUAUAAAAAUAUUGUAGAUGAAGUAGUUAAAAAGAGUAGAAAGGAAAUAUAAAAUAUAUAAUAAAACAAUUGAAAAUAUGUAAGUUCUAUUUUAUACUUGUGUAAUAAAUAAUGUCGAUUUGUUUAGAAAAAUAAUUAAUGAAGUGGUUAGAAUUAAUUAGAAAUGAAAUAAAAAUCUAUUAGAAAUCAUUUAAAAAUAGACAAGUAUUGUUCUGUAAUAAAAUAAAUAUAAAUAAUGUCAUUUCAUUAUUGUUUGUUUGUAAACUUUACUACAUGGGCCUUAUUUUGAUAUUUCAUUGCUUGUUGAAAUAUUAUUGGGUCUGGGUCUUGCCAAGACCGUCUUGAACUCGUUAAUAGUUUCUUCAGAUUUGAUUGUGGGAUGAAGUUCCGAUUAGAGAAAUUUUUGAAGAAGUCUCUCUCUCUCUCAUUCUUUCAAGUUGUCCAUUAUCUUAGGGCCUGACUGGUUCAAACGCAGCGGUUGCGGUUGCACGAGUUUAAGGAUGCGGGCGGUUGCGGUUUCUAGCGGUUUUAAGAAAUUUGUACGACUGGUACUGCAGUUAAAAAUUGGUGCGUUUGCGGGUGACUUAUGACUGGUUAACUACCAAAUGCGGUAACAGUCAAAUAAUAAAUUAAUAAUAUUUACAUUUAAUAUAAUUAUAAAAAUAUCAAAAAUCAUAAAAUUAUAAUAAAUAUAAAAUUUAUAUUUAGAAAGUUAUAAUUUUAAUUUUUGAAAAUAUAUUGUAAUUGUUUUUAUUAUAAAAAUUUAUAAUAUUAAUUAAAAUAUAAUAGAUAUAUUUUAAUAUUUUCAUAAUUUUAAUUUUAAAUUUUUUAUUAAAUAUUUUUACUUUUGUAUAUAUAUUGCUUUAAAAAAAAAAGAAAAAAAUUUACCCUCCUGCAACCGUCCGCAACCGCAAACGCUAACUGGAGCCAACUUUUGAAUUUAUGAGAUUCGAAGCGGUUUGAAACGGUUUAGAACGAUUUUUAGCGAUUGUUGCAAACCGCUGAUAACCGCUACCAACCGCAAAAACUGCGUUUGCGGGUGGUAGCGGGAAAACCAGUCGCCCCCUUAAUCAUUCCUCUUUGAAGAAACUGUCUUAGCUCAAACUGAUUGUAAAAACAGUUUACUCUUUUCAAUUUUAUCAUAUAUCCAUCAAAUAUAACAUUUAAACUUAGUGUUUUUUGAAUUUCAAGAAGUCCUAAGCCCGAAGGUCUGUACAUUCUCCAGAGCGAGGUCCAAGUUGUUCAGUUAGUUCUUCCUUUCUUUACUUUCCUUGCACCUAGUAAAACUUAUGAGUUAUUUUGUUUACAAUUUUAUUUUCCAUCUUAAUAAGCUCUUUUCAACCACUGACUACAUUUUAGAGAUUAGUGCUUUUCAAUAAACAGAGAAACUGAAGGACAUAAUGAGAUCAAGGGCUGAAACACGUGGUUGAUGGGUUUAGUGUAGCUAAACCAAAACGCUUAAAUCUAGUCGGGCUUUUAAAAACCAUCGCUUCUCUUAUAAAAUCUCGAAAGAAUUAAUGACAUAAUCAAGAAGCAAAACUAACAAGUCUCGUACACAAUAGAAUGUUUUUUUUUUACACAAUAUGUUGUACCUCAAAGUCUAGGCAUAAUAGCUUUGCACGUCUCCUCGAAGUGAUCCUUGAGUAACACUUUAAGACAAAGAGGAUAUUUUGCAGAAGACACAAAUUGUUUUAAGAAAAUUUAAACGGUUUCAAGUUUCAACUGAAGCAAAUAAGAUAAAAUGGCUCAUUGAGUCUUACUAGGUCUGUACCAGCUUUGUCAGCCAAAGAGCCUCCGAAAAUAUCCUUUGUAUGAUCUCCCCCCAUUGUCACAUGCUGUUUUAGAAUUAUCGUGAAGGACUGGAAAAUGAUUUGAGACAACAGAGUAGAAAGGAAGAUACAGUACUUGAAUCAAGAAGUUCAAACGAACCUGUAUCACCUUAUCUUGAAAAAAUCUAUAGAUUUGGGAGGGAUUAGUGGCUCAUUAAUUAUUAAUUACAACCAUCACUAUUCAAUCGAACCUGUAUCUCCUUAUUCGUUUGCGUGGACAUUUUUUUAUCAUCUCUUGAUUAUCAAUAUGAUUGAUUGAUUGAUAAAGACUAGUCUUCACAAAAAGAGGCCGAUGCACAUGGUCUAUGCGAUUCCAAAAUCAUCCUGCUCUCACUUUUGUCCGUUAUCUCACAAAUUGCGUAUAAGUACAAAUGUAUAGGAGAUUCGAUAUCUCCCCCAAGCUUCUAUCUAAUCUGUUAAAGUUUUGAAUAUUCAAAUCAGAUAACUUCAUAUGAAUGAGAACAGUAUUCAAUUUGGUUCCGAAUAUCCUACUUUUUGAAAUUCAAAAAUGCUUAAAAUAAGAUUCAUAAUGCAGUUACCCUAAAAUUUAUAGUUCAUAUAAUAGUCCCAAGAACUAUAUGAAUCGGCUCAUAUGUGUUAUUUAUUGUAAGUUUACAACCAUCCAACUAUAUCUGGAUUUCCCAUAAACUUACGAACUAUUUGUUUACCAUUGGAAUUACUGAUAACUCUUGUUAAAAUUAAAAUGCAUUUGUCCUAACAAUUUAAAAUAUCGAAACAGGCUCUAAUGUAAUAAUGUAGUGGACGCUUAUGUAAGUUACAACGUCAUCUCAAUCACAAAAGUUGCAUAAAUAUCCACAACAAAAGAAAAAUCAAAAUACCUCUCUCGUCUCCUUCUCCUCUUCCUAUCUUUCUACAAUCGUCAGCACAAAGUCUAGGACUUGAAGGUGAUUAAUCUUACCGAACUCAGUCUUUAUAUCUAUAAUAUGUAGGUGUUUCAAAUAUAUAGUAGAAUAAACUCUUAAUUCUCUAAUAUUUUUAUGUGUUCGAAUGAAGUAAGGAAACUUCAAAACUAAUCUGGUGUUGCCAUACGGCAGAGUGGUGCUCUCUGGUGCUUUUAAGUAUUUUCGAUUCACUUAACAUGCUUAGUUUCUGUAUUUAUUCCACCUAACAUGCCAUUUAUAUUUCUGUGAAGAUUAUCAGCUGGCUAAAUGUAUAAACUAUGCCUUUUUGUGUAGGAAG
rnacentral:lncRNA from 1 species